rnacentral:rRNA from 1 species
UACGUAGGGGGCAAGCGUUGUCCGGAUUUAUUGGGCGUAAAGAGCGUGUAGGCGGCCAGGUAGGUCCGUUGUGAAAACUCGAGGCUCAACCUCGAGCUGUCGAUGGAAACCAUCUGGCUAGAGUCCGGAAGAGGAGAGUGGAAUUCCUGGUGUAGCGGUGAAAUGCGCAGAUAUCAGGAAGAACACCCGUGGCGAAGGCGGCUCUCUGGUACGUGACUGACGCUGAGACGCGAAAGCGUGGGGAGCGAACAGG